AGACGUGUGGCGUUUCAACCUAGCCCAGGGGUUGCCCUGUGGCUGCAAGUCACGCUGUUGGGCAGUGGGAACUGCUUCGGGGUCUCCUGCCUCCGAGCCCAAGGGCAAUCUGCAACAGAGAUAUGGGAGGUUAGCACAGGGAGAAAAACAGAACCUCUGUGUUAUUUGUUUACAUUCAGGCAGGCGGUGGAACCACUGAGCUAAAUCCUCGGCCCUUCAGUCAGUUAUUUUCAAUGAUAUACUGGGGGCCAGGUCAUCAAACUGAAAUCCUUCUGUACACCAUGGAAACGAAUCUUAGUGCAUUCCAUGAGACCAAGGCAAAGGCCUCCACAAGAUCCGGUUUGUUUGGAUGGUGCUCCAUCGAAUGCAUUUUGCUACAUUUUCUAACAUUCUGUGAUGUCACCAGGCUUGCUCUAAAGUCACACUUAGUAGGGUAAAGUAUAUGCAGAGCAAGUGGGCGGAAGGCAAGAAAACUGCAAAGCACCAAAUCAUAGGACCGUGUUCAUUAAGACCUCCAUGGCAGCAGCCAGCUAGGCCUGUGUGCUGUAACUGAGAUUCCUGUAGCCCCUCUCCGAAGAGACUCAGGGCACAGGAAAGACAUAAUCCUCAGACCCAGAUGAGCCCAUUAAACAUAGACUUGAUCAGUCUUCUCAGCUAGGAAGCCCAAUAUUAAACAUCCAGAGCACAUAAAUGUCCUGCCAAGGCACCAGACCAACAAAAAGCCGAGCAGUCUGCUCCCUCUUACACAGAAAUAAGGUCCUGGAGUCCGAAGUUGGUUUUAAUGUCACAUGAAUACAAAUUCCUAUGGAAACCCAAGGGAACAAUGAUUAUGAGUCCCUCAGGACUCUCUUAGAUUCGCUCAGUGGAGGUUCAGGGAAAGCGAAGAAGUAGCUGCGCUGAGGGUUAAAAUCAUAACUGUCUGCUGUGCAGAAUUUAAAGCUUUAUGAAGCUAAAAGUCUUCCUGCCUAUAGAAAAUUGCUCUUGACAUCUUGCCAUGUUCCCUCCCAGACUUGUCAAUCCAUCUGUGUAUGUUUAUUUAAAUUUUUCUCUAAAUUGGGAUCACGCUCUAAUAUUUUAUCCUGCUUCUUUAUUUAUGAUAUAUAUUUGAAAAGUGUAUUUGCAAGUGAUUAAAUAUCUCAUGACUCAUUUGAAAAACUACUUAAUAUUCUUUGAUGCAUAUGAAUCUUCCUAUAUUUAAGUUAGCUCAUCUUGGACAUUAAAAUAUAUUCCAAAGUUCUAAUUAAUGUAAAUAAAAAGGCCAUAAAUAUAUCUUUCAUACAUUUUUUGCCACAUUGUAUUAUUUCCAUGGGACAUAGCUGUAGACAUUAUUUA